GGAAGGAUCAUUAUUCUGCUACAAACAAAAACCUUCUUUAAAGGGGAUAGGUUACGUUACUUGACAUCUGUUACCGCUAGUCUAACUAGUCGGUGGGAGAGGUUGGGUGAUUGGACCCGUUCCCUUUAUUGAACAAGCGUUACCUUAUUAUCGUCGAAUCAAAGUGCAAUUCGCCAUUUAAUUCGAUCCGCGGGGAGGCAGCCGCGUCAACAAGGACGUCUGUAACGGUUUAAUGGCGUUACUCCCUUCUGGGGUGUAACAGCUGUUUGACGACCACUACAAUGUUUACUGGUCUCGAUCGGUAAAACACUGAAACUCAUGAUAAGUUGAUCACCAACUUUUUAUGAUAAAGUUAAGGUUCUCACCACGGUGAAACCUUCAAAUCUACAAAAUACAACUCAUAACGGUGGAUUUCUAGGCUCGUGUACCGAUGAAGAACGUAGCAAACUACGAUAACUAGUGUGAAUUGCAAAAUACGUGAAUCAUUGAAUCUUUGAAUGCACACUGCACCGAGGGUCUAAUAACCUUUGGUCUAUCUGGUCGAGUGCCGAUUCUUCAUCACCACAAGGAAAAACACCUUUUGCGAGGUGUCUUUACCUGUUGCGGUGGAUAUUGAGAGUGGAAAAGGGGUCUUUCCCCGUUCCUCUCUUCAAGUUUACGAGAUGGGGAGGGGUUUACCCGUAAAAAGGUGAUCCCCCUCUCAAGUCCAACCCUAGAGUCCUGCGGAGAGACUCAUAAUGAAGGGGUUGCGACGGUCGAUCUUCAUGACCUCUUUGGCGUCUACUCUCGGGUAGGAGCUGAAGAGAGCUGGAGAAGUCGCGGGUACACCUCUUGGUCUUACAAGGGGGGGAGGUUGGAACCAUUCCAAAGGCUCCUUUCUAUCCGUCAAGACGGGGAUGCAAAUCCAAGUUUAGGCGUGGUGAAUGGGAGCUGGCUUCAACUAACGAUCCUCCUAAAGACACGAUUGACCUUGAACCGAGUCCAACCUCUCUUUCGGAUUCGGAAAUGAAGGGACGAUCGCUAACCUCGUAGUAUCGGUCUAGGCUGGUAAGGCGUGGGUUGGGUGUGGUGUUUUAUUCGCGGUAACUUUGGCGUAGUUGUGGUGUUUCGCACUUCUUUCGACUUUCUCUUUACGGGGAAAGAAGAAAACCUUACGGGGGGUAAAGCUGUUAUCAGCUUCAAAACCCUUCUUAACGGCCUCGGCUCAGGUAGGAUUACCCGCUGAACUUAAGCAUAUUAGUAAGCGGAGGAAAAGAAAUUAACUAAGAUUCCCUCAGUAACUGCGAGUGAACCGGGAGGAAGCCCAGCCCUGAAUCGGGGAGGAUUCGUCUUCUUCCGAAUUGUGGGGUUUGUCGGGGUUGGUCAGGCACUUAAGUGGCAGCGAAGUCAUUCUGGAAAGGUGUACCACAGAGGGUGAUAGUCCCGUAGUUGCUGCUUGAGGGCUGGACUGAUUUCGGCUAGAGUCGAGCUGUUUGGGAGUACAGCUCUAACGGGUGAUAAAUUUCAUCCAAGGCUAAAUAUUAACACGAGACCGAUAGCGAACAAGUACCGCGAGGGAAAGAUGCAAAGAACUCUGAAAAGAGAGUUAAAAGUACAUGAAACCGUUAUGAGGUAAAGCGGUGGCCAGGGUACUUUCCUCUGGUUGAGGGAUCAGCUCACGGGGGUUUCAGGAUGCUUGUUUACGGGUGUUCGUAAGGAUAUCUUAGGCGAGUAUUCAUGGGGCUUCUAGGAGUGUAUUCCCUUGAUCGGAGGGUCACUGUGUGUUCUGCUCGAUUUUGAAGGCUUGGUAGUUGUCCUCGGACGAUGAAGGGCUUUAGAGAUUGGGCGGGACACAGGUCUCUCCAUUCUGGGGAGAACGGGUAGCGCUCAGCUCUUAAGGAUGCUACCCCCGACAGUGAAUACACGGUACCAUGGUUACUGACCCGUCUUGAAACACGGACCAAGGAGUCUAUCAGGUGUGCGAGUUCGAGGGUGAGUAAAACCCAAGGGCGAAAUGAAAGUAAGAGGUGUGAUAUCUGUCAAGGAUUGCAACACCGGCCGACUCGGAUCACUCGUGGUUCAGGGUCGAGCUGGAGCAUAUCUAAUAGAACCCGAAAGGUGGCGAACUAUGCCCGUACAGGAUGAAGCCAGGAGAAAUCCUGGUGGAGGUCCGUAGCGGUAUUGACGUGCAAAUCAUUCGUCAGAUGCGGGUAUAGCGGCGAAAGACCAAUCGAGCCGCCUAGUAGCUGGUUCCCUC
rnacentral:misc_RNA from 1 species